rnacentral:rRNA from 1 species
GGUCAAGUGAAGAAGCGCAUACGGUGGAUGCCUUGGCAGUCAGAGGCGAUGAAAGACGUGGUAGCCUGCGAAAAGCUUCGGGGAGUCGGCAAACAGACUGUGAUCCGGAGAUAUCUGAAUGGGGGAACCCAGCCAUCAUAAGAUGGUUAUCUUGUACUGAAUACAUAGGUGCAAGAGGCGAACCAGGGGAACUGAAACAUCUAAGUACCCUGAGGAAAAGAAAUCAACCGAGAUUCCCUUAGUAGUGGCGAGCGAACGGGGACCAGCCCUUAAGUUGUAUUGAGAUUAGCGGAACGUUCUGGAAAGGACGGCCAUAGUGGGUGAUAGCCCUGUACGCGAAAAUCCCUUUGCAAUGAAAUCGAGUAGGACGGGGCACGAGAAACCUUGUCUGAAUAUGGGGGGACCAUCCUCCAAGGCUAAAUACUACUGACUGACCGAUAGUGAACCAGUACCGUGAGGGAAAGGCGAAAAGAACCGCGGAGAGCGGAGUGAAAUAGAUCCUGAAACCGUAUGCGUACAAGCAGUGGGAGCCCACUUUGUUGGGUGACUGCGUACCUUUUGUAUAAUGGGUCAGCGACUUAUUUUCAGUGGCGAGCUUAACCGAAUAGGGGAGGCGUAGCGAAAGCGAGUCUUAAUAGGGCGUCUAGUCGCUGGGAAUAGACCCGAAACCGGGCGAUCUAUCCAUGGGCAGGUUGAAGGUUGGGUAACACUAACUGGAGGACCGAACCGACUACCGUUGAAAAGUUAGCGGAUGACCUGUGGAUCGGAGUGAAAGGCUAAUCAAGCUCGGAGAUAGCUGGUUCUCCUCGAAAGCUAUUUAGGUAGCGCCUCAUGUAUCACUGUAGGGGGUAGAGCACUGUUUCGGCUAGGGGGUCAUCCCGACUUACCAAACCGAUGCAAACUCCGAAUACCUACAAGUGCCGAGCAUGGGAGACACACGGCGGGUGCUAACGUCCGUCGUGAAAAGGGAAACAACCCAGACCGUCAGCUAAGGUCCCAAAGUCAUGGUUAAGUGGGAAACGAUGUGGGAAGGCUUAGACAGCUAGGAGGUUGGCUUAGAAGCAGCCACCCUUUAAAGAAAGCGUAAUAGCUCACUAGUCGAGUCGGCCUGCGCGGAAGAUGUAACGGGGCUCAAACCAUGCACCGAAGCUACGGGUAUCAUCUUAUGAUGAUGCGGUAGAGGAGCGUUCUGUAAGCCUGUGAAGGUGAGUUGAGAAGCUUGCUGGAGGUAUCAGAAGUGCGAAUGCUGACAUGAGUAACGACAAUGGGUGUGAAAAACACCCACGCCGAAAGACCAAGGUUUCCUGCGCAACGUUAAUCGACGCAGGGUUAGUCGGUCCCUAAGGCGAGGCUGAAAAGCGUAGUCGAUGGAAAACAGGUUAAUAUUCCUGUACUUCUGGUUAUUGCGAUGGAGGGACGGAGAAGGCUAGGCCAGCCUGGCGUUGGUUGUCCAGGUUUAAGGUGGUAGGCUGAGAUCUUAGGUAAAUCCGGGAUCUUAAGGCCGAGAGCUGAUGACGAGUGUUCUUUUAGAACACGAAGUGGUUGAUGCCAUGCUUCCAAGAAAAGCUUCUAAGCUUCAGGUAACCAGGAACCGUACCCCAAACCGACACAGGUGGUUGGGUAGAGAAUACCAAGGCGCUUGAGAGAACUCGGGUGAAGGAACUAGGCAAAAUGGCACCGUAACUUCGGGAGAAGGUGCGCCGGUGGAGGUGAAGCAUUUACUGCGUAAGCCCCUGCCGGUCGAAGAUACCAGGCCGCUGCGACUGUUUAUUAAAAACACAGCACUCUGCAAACACGAAAGUGGACGUAUAGGGUGUGACGCCUGCCCGGUGCCGGAAGGUUAAUUGAUGGGGUUAGCGCAAGCGAAGCUCUUGAUCGAAGCCCCGGUAAACGGCGGCCGUAACUAUAACGGUCCUAAGGUAGCGAAAUUCCUUGUCGGGUAAGUUCCGACCUGCACGAAUGGCGUAACGAUGGCGGCGCUGUCUCCACCCGAGACUCAGUGAAAUUGAAAUCGCUGUGAAGAUGCAGUGUAUCCGCGGCUAGACGGAAAGACCCCGUGAACCUUUACUAUAGCUUUGCACUGGACUUUGAAUUUGCUUGUGUAGGAUAGGUGGGAGGCUUUGAAGCGUGGACGCCAGUCUGCGUGGAGCCAACCUUGAAAUACCACCCUGGCAACUUUGAGGUUCUAACUCAGGUCCGUUAUCCGGAUCGAGGACAGUGUAUGGUGGGUAGUUUGACUGGGGCGGUCUCCUCCUAAAGAGUAACGGAGGAGUACGAAGGUGCGCUCAGACCGGUCGGAAAUCGGUCGUAGAGUAUAAAGGCAAAAGCGCGCUUGACUGCGAGACAGACACGUCGAGCAGGUACGAAAGUAGGUCUUAGUGAUCCGGUGGUUCUGUAUGGAAGGGCCAUCGCUCAACGGAUAAAAGGUACUCCGGGGAUAACAGGCUGAUACCGCCCAAGAGUUCAUAUCGACGGCGGUGUUUGGCACCUCGAUGUCGGCUCAUCACAUCCUGGGGCUGAAGCCGGUCCCAAGGGUAUGGCUGUUCGCCAUUUAAAGUGGUACGCGAGCUGGGUUUAGAACGUCGUGAGACAGUUCGGUCCCUAUCUGCCGUGGACGUUUGAGAUUUGAGAGGGGCUGCUCCUAGUACGAGAGGACCGGAGUGGACGAACCUCUGGUGUUCCGGUUGUCACGCCAGUGGCAUUGCCGGGUAGCUAUGUUCGGAAAAGAUAACCGCUGAAAGCAUCUAAGCGGGAAACUUGCCUCAAGAUGAGAUCUCACUGGAACCUUGAGUUCCCUGAAGGGCCGUCGAAGACUACGACGUUGAUAGGUUGGGUGUGUAAGCGCUGUGAGGCGUUGAGCUAACCAAUACUAAUUGCCCGUGAGGCUUGACCAUAUAACACCCA